rnacentral:rRNA from 1 species
UACAUGUGGGGCAAGCGUUGUUCGGAAUUACUGGGCAUAAAGGGUGCGUAGGCGGUGCGGUGAGUCAGUGGUGAAAUCCCGUGGCCCAACCAUGGAACUGCCAUUGAUACUGCCGCGCUGGAGUGCGUGAGGGGUAGCUGGAACGAGUGGUGUAGCGGUGAAAUGCGUAGAUAUCACUCGGAAGGCCAAAGCCGAAGGGAGGCUACUGGCACGCAACUGACGCUGAGGCACGAAAGCGUGGGGAGCAAACAGG